rnacentral:rRNA from 1 species
CGACGUAUGCAAUCUGCCUUUCACAAAGGGAUAGCCCAGAGAAAUUUGGAUUAAUACCUUAUAGUAUAUAGAUGGUGGCAUCACAAUUAUAUUAAAGAUUUAUCGGUGAAAGAUGAGCAUGCGUCCCAUUAGCUAGUUGGUAAGGUAACGGCUUACCAAGGCAACGAUGGGUAGGGGUCCUGAGAGGGAGAUCCCCCACACUGGUACUGAGACACGGACCAG